rnacentral:lncRNA from 1 species
CUGCCACUUGCUGACUGGCUGAGUGGCAGCUGCUCGCACUGUGUGGACUAGCUGGAUGGAGGAUGAAGCUGUCCUGGACAGAGGGGCUUCCUUCCUUAAGCAUGUGUGUGAUGAAGAAGAAGUAGAAGG